rnacentral:rRNA from 1 species
UGGGGAAUUUUGGACAAUGGACGCAAGUCUGAUCCAGCCAUGCCGCGUGCGGGAAGAAGGCCUUCGGGUUGUAAACCGCUUUUGUCAGGGAAGAAACGAGUUCCUCUAAUACAGAGACUUAAUGACGGUACCUGAAGAAUAAGCACCGGCUAACUACGUGCCAGCAGCCGCGGUAAUACGUAGGGUGCAAGCGUUAAUCGGAAUUACUGGGCGUAAAGCGUGCGCAGGCGGUUAUACAAGACAGAUGUGAAAUCCCCGGGCUCAACCUGGGACCUGCAUUUGUGACUGUAUAGCUAGAGUACGGUAGAGGGGGAUGGAAUUCCGCGUGUAGCAGUGAAAUGCGUAGAUAUGCGGAGGAACACCGAUGGCGAAGGCAAUCCCCUGGACCUGUACUGACGCUCAUGCACGAAAGCGUGGGGAGCAAACA